AAACCUGGGAGGAGAGCAGACAGGACUGUCUGAAUAGAGGAGGAGACCUAGUGAUCAUUCAAACGCAGAGAGGAACUGGACUACAUAAAAACGUUUGAGGUGAUGUCCUGGAUUGGUCUGACUGAUGAACAUAGUGAGGGUCUCUGGACAUGGGUGGACAACACACAGCUAACUACAGAAGGGUACUGGCAUCCUGGUGAACCUAAUGGUGGAAGAGAGGAGAACUGUGGAAUGAUUUGGAUGCAGUUUGAUGCCUGGAAUGACACCCCGUGCUCUAGAGGGCUACCCUGGAUAUGUGAGAAAUGUGCAUAUUGUUAGGUUCUAAAAGAACCUAGUAAAACUCACGGACGAUUAGUAAAACUUUAACCAAGUUUAUUCACCCAUUGGGUCAUACAAUUGCAUAAGACAAAGACAUGGUUCCAUCAAUGGUAGUAUAUAUACACCCCAAUUUGGCUGACGUCCUCCUCUCUAAACAUAACUUCCUGCCUAGCAAAACAGAUGUAAAGUGAUGCGGGCAAUAAACUAUUACUUCUGAUGAUUAACCAUAUUUAAAGUUUAGAAAUCCGAACCCAUCAAUAUGCUUA